rnacentral:rRNA from 1 species
GCGUGCUUACCAUGCAAGUCGAACGAUGAACCACUUCGGUGGGGAUUAGUGGCGAACGGGUGAGUAACACGUGGGCAAUCUGCCCUGCACUCUGGGACAAGCCCUGGAAACGGGGUCUAAUACCGGAUACUGACCCGCCUGGGCAUCCAGGCGGUUCGAAAGCUCCGGCGGUGCAGGAUGAGCCCGCGGCCUAUCAGCUUGUUGGUGAGGUAACGGCUCACCAAGGCGACGACGGGUAGCCGGCCUGAGAGGGCGACCGGCCACACUGGGACUGAGACACGGCCCAGACUCCUACGGGAGGCAGCAGUGGGGAAUAUUGCACAAUGGGCGCAAGCCUGAUGCAGCGACGCCGCGUGAGGGAUGACGGCCUUCGGGUUGUAAACCUCUUUCAGCAGGGAAGAAGCGAAAGUGACGGUACCUGCAGAAGAAGCGCCGGCUAACUACGUGCCAGCAGCCGCGGUAAUACGUAGGGCGCGAGCGUUGUCCGGAAUUAUUGGGCGUAAAGAGCUCGUAGGCGGCUUGUCGCGUCGGUUGUGAAAGCCCGGGGCUUAACCCCGGGUCUGCAGUCGAUACGGGCAGGCUAGAGUUCGGUAGGGGAGAUCGGAAUUCCUGGUGUAGCGGUGAAAUGCGCAGAUAUCAGGAGGAACACCGGUGGCGAAGGCGGAUCUCUGGGCCGAUACUGACGCUGAGGAGCGAAAGCGUGGGGAGCG